rnacentral:rRNA from 1 species
UACGUAGGGCGCAAGCGUUGUCCGGAAUUAUUGGGCGUAAAGAGCUCGUAGGCGGCCUGUUAAGUCGAACGUGAAAUCCCCGGGCUCAACCCGGGAACUGCGUCCGAUACUGGCAGGCUUGAAUCCGGGAGAGGGAUGCGGAAUUCCAGGUGUAGCGGUGAAAUGCGUAGAUAUCUGGAGGAACACCGGUGGCGAAGGCGGCAUCCUGGACCGGCAUUGACGCUGAGGCGCGAAAGCCAGGGGAGCAAACGGG